GAAACAAGGGGUGGGCAAGACGGCUGCCCAGCCGCCGCGGUAAUAGCCGCACCCCGAGUGGUAGUCAUUGUUAUUGGGCUUAAAGUGUUCGUAGCCGGACGCACAAGUCUGCUGUGAAAUUCCAUGCGCUUAACGUAUGGACAUGCAGCGGAUACUGUGUGUCUAGGAACCGGACGGCGUCGAGGCUAUUCCCGGGGUAGGGGUGAAAUCCUAAAAUCCUGAGAGGAGCACCUGUGGCGAAAGCGCUCGACGAGUACGGAUUCGACGGUGAGGAACGAAAGCCAGUGGAGCAAAGCGGAUUAGAUACCCGCGUAGUACUGGCUGUAAACAUUGUGCGUU
rnacentral:rRNA from 1 species